GCCCCGGUAGCUCAGUGGAUAGAGCGGCCGCCUCCUAAGCGGCAGGUCGCCGGUUCGACUCCGGCCCGGGGCGCCA
rnacentral:tRNA from 1 species